ACCUACCCUAUGGACGGGAAUAACCUCGGGAAACUGAGUAUAAUGCCAGAUAGAACACUAUACCUGAAUGGUUUGUGUUUCAAAUGAUUUAUUGCCAUAGGAUGGGACUGCGGCCUAUCAGUUUGUUGGUGAGGUAAUGGCCCACCAAGACUAUUACAGGUACGGGCUCUGAGAGGAGUGGCCCGGAGAUGGGUACUGAGACACGGACCCAGGCCCUAUGGGGCGCAGCAGGCGAGAAAACUUUGCAAUGUGCGAAAGCACGACAAGGUUAAUCCGAGUGGUUUCUGCUAAAGGAACCUUUUGUUAGUCCUAGAAACACUAACAAUAAGGGGUGGGCAAGUUCUGGUGUCAGCCGCCGCGGUAAAACCAGCACCUCAAGUGGUCAGGAUGAUUAUUGGGCCUAAAGCAUCCGUAGCCGGCUCAGUAAGUUUUCGGUUAAAUCUGUACGCUCAACGUACAGGCUGUCGGGAAUACUGCAGAGCUAGGGAGUGGGAGAGGUAGACGGUACUCGGGAGGAAGUGGUAAAAUGCUUUGAUCUUUCGAUGACCACCUGUGGCGAAGGCGGUCUACCAGAACACGUCGACGGUGAGGGAUGAAAGCUGGGGGAGCAAACCGGAUUAGAUACCCGGGUAGUCCCAGCUGUAAACUAUGCAAACUCAGUGAUGCAUUGGCUUGUGGCCGAUGCAGUGUUGCAGGGAAGCCGUUAAGUUUGCCGCCUGGGAAGUACGUACGCAAGUAUGAAACUUAAAGGAAUUGGCGGGGGAGCACCACAAGGGGUGAAGCCUGCGGUUCAAUUGGAUUCAACGCCGGA
rnacentral:rRNA from 1 species